rnacentral:lncRNA from 1 species
UCGAACGUUAUCUGGUCGAUGGUUGUGAAAGGUUAGAGAUGCAUGACAUAUGCAUGAUGCUAAUGCAGUAUGAUUAUUCUCCCUUUUUAUUUUUCACAAAAAGAUCUCGGUAUUUUUAUUAACAAGUUUUUCUUUUUUCAUUUUUUUUUCGAAACUCUCUAGCAUUCAUUGAGAAAAUUUUCAGUCGCGAAGAAAUGGGUGAAAGAUUUUUUUGAGCAUUGUUUACCAAGUGGAACCUGGAUUUUAUUUUUUUGUUUUUUUUCCGAACUGGGAAGAAAGAAGGGGAGGCCAAACACAAUUCUUAUUUGUUGAGGGAUGGGGUCCGAAGUUAACCUUAUCGGAAGGAGAAGAGAAGGGUAAAGGGAUGGGCUCCAAAGUUAACCUUAUCGGAAAGGGAGGAAAGGGAUCCUGAAGUUAACCUUAUCAGGAAGAGAUGAAAACGGGUUUCUG